AGACGUAGGGGGCAAGCGUUGUCCGGAAUUACUGGGCGUAAAGGGAGCGUAGACGGUUCUGCAAGUCUGGAGUGAAAGCCCGGGGCUCAACCCCGGGACUGCUUUGGAAACUGUGGAACUAGAGUGCAGGAGAGGUAAGUGGAAUUCCUAGUGUAGCGGUGAAAUGCGUAGAUAUUAGGAGGAACACCAGUGGCGAAGGCGGCUUACUGGUCCAUUACUGACGCUGAGGUGCGAAAGCGUGGGGAGC
rnacentral:rRNA from 1 species